rnacentral:rRNA from 1 species
GUGAGGAAUAUUGGUCAAUGGGCGAGAGCCUGAACCAGCCAAGUCGCGUGAAGGAAGAAGGAUCUAUGGUUCGUAAACUUCUUUUGCAGGGGAAUAAAGUGCGGGACGUGUCCUGUUUUGUAUGUACCCUGAGAAUAAGGAUCGGCUAACUCCGUGCCAGCAGCCGCGGUAAUACGGAGGAUCCGAGCGUUAUCCGGAUUUAUUGGGUUUAAAGGGUGCGUAGGUGGUUUGAUAAGUCAGCGGUGAAAGUUUGCAGCUUAACUGUAAAAAUGCCGUUGAAACUGUCGGACUUGAGUGUAAAUGAGGUAGGCGGAAUGCGUGGUGUAGCGGUGAAAUGCAUAGAUAUCAUGCAGAACUCCGAUUGCGAAGGCAGCUUACUAAGCUACAACUGACACUGAAGCACGAAAGCGUGGGGAUCAAACAGGAUUAGAUACCCCAGUAGUCC